AAUACCAAAACCAACGGUAGAGGCAGAAGGAGCAGCAAUAAAAUUGAAUGAUGAAGUCUUACAAUUCAUUCUACUUGUUUUCAACAAUUUUGAGCAUUGUGCUUUCCAAUGACCUUUCUUCUUACAAAAUCCACAUUCAUCAAUAUCAACCCCAAUUCUCCCUUAAUGUUUUCCUUUGUGAGAAGGAACAUCAAUCUCAUAUGGAGGAGUCAAGAAAAUUCCGUUGUCCAUUAAAUUAUAACCAAUGCAAAUGUUAAAAGAGUGGAUAUCAAGCACCAAAACCAAAUUAACCCAAACAAUGCAAUCACGUGGCCCUCCUUUUGUUACAAAAGAGAAAAACAAUUCCAAGCAAUUUUUCAAUGAAAGAAACAGAUGGUGGCCUACCCUCUUUUUCCCUCAAAAAUUCAAUUACAAUCAAAAUGAUAUUAGAACCGAUCAACACGUACGAUACAGGAGAUAACUAGAUAACCCCUGUCUAGAUAAUCCAAU
rnacentral:lncRNA from 1 species